rnacentral:rRNA from 1 species
AUGGUUAAGCUAAUAAGAGCACACGGAGGAUGCCUAGGCGCCAGGAGCCGACGAAGGACGUGGCGAACAACGAAACUGCCUCGGGGAGCUGUAAGCAAGCUUUGAUCCGGGGGUGUCCGAAUGGGGAAACCCAGCUGUGGUAAUUCGCAGUUACUCAUACCUGAAUACAUAGGGUAUGCAGAGGCAGACCAGGGGAACUGAAACAUCUAAGUACCCUGAGGAAGAGAAAACAAUAGUGAUUCCGUCAGUAGCGGCGAGCGAACGCGGAACAGCCUAAACCAAGGGGCUUGCCCCUUGGGGUUGUGGGACGUCUCACAUGGAGUUACAAAGGAACCGGGUAGGCGAAGAGGUCUGGAAAGGCCCGCGAUAGAGGUAAAAGCCCUGUAACCUAAACCCUGUUCCCUCCGAGACGGAUCCCGAGUAGUGCGGGGCACGUGAAACCCCGUAUGAAUCCGGCAGGACCAUCUGCUAAGGCUAAAUACUACCUGGCGACCGAUAGUGAAACAGUACCGUGAGGGAAAGGUGAAAAGCACCCCGGAAGGGGAGUGAAAUAGAACCUGAAACCGUGUGCUUACAAAAAGUCAGAGCCCAAUUUAGGGGUGAUGGCGUGCCUUUUGUAGAAUGAACCGGCGAGUUACGUUUAACAUGCAAGGUUAAGGUGAGAAGCCGGAGCCGCAGCGAAAGCGAGUCUGAAUAGGGCGACUAAGUAUGUGGACGUAGACCCGAAACCGUGUGAUCUACCCCUGUCCAGGGUGAAGGUGCGGUAACACGCACUGGAGGCCCGAACCCACGUAUGUUGAAAAAUGCGGGGAUGAGGUGGGGGUAGCGGAGAAAUUCCAAUCGAACUCGGAGAUAGCUGGUUCUCCCCGAAAUAGCUUUAGGGCUAGCCUCGGUGAAUGGAGUCGUGGAGGUAGAGCACUGAUUGGGUGCGGGGCCCGCAAGGGUUACCAAGCUCAGUCAAACUCCGAAUGCCAUGGACUUCUUGCCGGGAGUCAGACAGUGAGUGCUAAGAUCCAUUGUCAAAAGGGAAACAGCCCAGACCAUCAGCUAAGGUCCCCAAGUGUGUGUUAAGUGGGAAAGGAUGUGGAGUUGCACAGACAACCAGGAUGUUGGCUUAGAAGCAGCCACCAUUGAAAGAGUGCGUAAUAGCUCACUGGUCGAGUGACUCUGCGCCGAAAAUGUAACGGGGCUAAACACACCACCGAAGCUAUGGCUAGAUACGUAUGUAUCUGGGGUAGGGGAGCGUUGUAUGUAGAUUGAAGGUGUACCGUAAGGAGCGCUGGACCGCAUACAAGUGAGAAUGCCGGUAUGAGUAACGAAAAGAUCAGUGAGAAUCUGAUCCGCCGAAAGCCCAAGGUUUCCUGAGGAAGGCUCGUCCGCUCAGGGUAAGUCGGGACCUAAGGCGAGGCCGACAGGCGUAGUCGAAGGACAACAGUUUGAAAUUACUGUACCACCGUAAUCCGCUAUGAGCGAUGGGGUGACGCAGGAGGGUAGUGACGCGGACUGAUGGAUGUCCGUCUAAGCAGUGAGGCUGGUGUGCAGGCAAAUCCGCACAUCAUAAGGCUGGGCUGUGAUGGGGAGCGAAAAUUAUAGUAGCGAAGGUCAUGAUCUCACACUGCCAAGAAAAGCCUCUAGCCAGGAGAAGGUGCCCGUACCGCAAACCGACACAGGUAGGCGAGAAGAGAAUUCUAAGGCGCGCGGAAGAACUCUCGUUAAGGAACUCGGCAAAAUGACCCCGUAACUUCGGGAGAAGGGGUGCCUCGGUAGGGUGAAUAGCCCGAGGGGGCCGCAGUGAAAAGGCCCAAGCGACUGUUUAGCAAAAACACAGGUCUGUGCGAAGCCGCAAGGCGAAGUAUACGGGCUGACGCCUGCCCGGUGCUGGAAGGUUAAGGGGAGCGGUUAGGGGCAACCCGAAGCUGUGAACCGAAGCCCCAGUAAACGGCGGCCGUAACUAUAACGGUCCUAAGGUAGCGAAAUUCCUUGUCAGGUAAAUUCUGACCCGCACGAAUGGCGUAACGACUUGGGCGCUGUCUCAACGAGAGAUCCGGUGAAAUUUUAAUACCUGUGAAGAUGCAGGUUACCCGCGACAAGACGGAAAGACCCCAUGGAGCUUUACUGCAGCUUGAUAUUGAAUUUGGGUACGAUCUGUACAGGAUAGGUGGGAGCCGUAGAAGCCGGAGCGCAAGCUUCGGUGGAGGCGCCGUUGGGAUACCACCCUGAUCGUAUCUAGGUUCUAACCUGGUACCCUAAGCGGGUACGGGGACCGUGUCAGGCGGGCAGUUUGACUGGGGCGGUCGCCUCCUAAAGAGUAACGGAGGCGUUCAAAGGUUCCCUCAGAAUGGUUGGAAAUCAUUCGAAGAGUGCAAAGGCAGAAGGGAGCUUGACUGCGAGACCAACAAGUCGAGCAGGGACGAAAGUCGGACUUAGUGAUCCGGUGGUACCGCAUGGAAGGGCCAUCGCUCAACGGAUAAAAGCUACCCUGGGGAUAACAGGCUUAUCUCCCCCAAGAGUCCACAUCGACGGGGAGGUUUGGCACCUCGAUGUCGGCUCAUCGCAUCCUGGGGCUGAAGUAGGUCCCAAGGGUUGGGCUGUUCGCCCAUUAAAGCGGUACGCGAGCUGGGUUCAGAACGUCGUGAGACAGUUCGGUCCCUAUCUGUCGUGGGCGCAGGAAAUUUGAGAGGAGCUGUCCUUAGUACGAGAGGACCGGGAUGGACGUACCGCUGGUGCACCAGUUGUUCCGCCAGGAGCAUGGCUGGGUAGCUACGUACGGACGGGAUAAGCGCUGAAAGCAUCUAAGCGUGAAGCCCCCCUCAAGAUGAGAUUUCCCAAGUCAGUAAGACCCCUUGAAGACGACGAGGUAGAUAGGUUGGAGGUGGAAGUGCAGCAAUGCAUGGAGCUGACCAAUACUAAUCGGUCGAGGGCUUAUCCAAAA